GAGAAUCUCUGUGGCUGAUCGUCAUUCCCAUCAUCAUCUUCAUUAUCAUCAUCAUCGGUGUUUUGGUUUACAGGGAAGAGGAAAGGAACCCAGAGCCUGGCAGACAUGCAGAGCGAAGGAACCAGACGCUGCCGCACAGAUGAACCUGUGAAAAAGUUUUACCUCCAUAACUGGAUGUUUUUAUUGGCUUAAUAAAUUAAAUUUUUAAUUUUUA